rnacentral:lncRNA from 1 species
UAUAUUCAUACAAGUCGCAAGCUAAUUUAUGCCUCCACAUAUCAAUCCAAGACUGAUUUAUUAUAUCAACAUUGCGAUCGAUGCUCAAAAACUCUAUGUACUUUUUUGCAAAUAAGCCACACUCGCCCCUACAACCGAAGAAGAAUAUAUUAGUUCGAUAACAUAUAACUGAAAAUUAAAUUUUAAAAUUAAAAAGUUUUAAAUCCUUACGAUCUUUCUUGUCUUGCCGUCGUCAUGUUCCGCACAAUGGCUAAUCUGUCAUUUACUCGAAUCAUCGCAUGACUAGCCACCAUGGGCACGAUCAUAGCCAUUGGCUCCAGUAUUUGCUCCAGUUGACUUUAUAUCAGACAGCUAUGAUCAGAGUCGUACACAUACUUAGUGAAAUCAUCAAAUACGAUCUCCACUGAAAAACAGUGUGAGUUCGCGAUCACUAGAAUGUACAUAUGUGCACAAUCCGUCCACGGCUUUCCGCACCUCAGCUGUAGCCCAAUCACCCACUCCCGCAUGUACUCAGACAAAACAUAUUCAUUCCCCUUGCUUAGGAGCUCGUGAUAGUCAAUAUCUACGACACGAACAAACUCAGAGCUCAGGAUAACUCGAUUAGGACUGUCAUAAAAUCUCGGGUAUCUCCGAGCCCGAUCGCGUAACAAUUCCAUAACCAAGUCGAUAUACUGAAACAACAAAACACCAACAAAAAAGAUAGAGUCGUUUAAGUAAAUGAACCAACAACUUCUAUAAACAAAAUAAAUGGAAACUCAAAAAACAUACAUCAUCGGCGAGCCAAGCUGAGGUCGUCAGUACAUCUUCGAACCACUUUUUAGCAUUGGGCACGGUCAUACAGCCGAUGGUAUAGCUAUCUCUGAAAAAUGAA